UUGCCUACGGGGCGCAGCAGUGGGGAAUAUUGCACAAUGGGGGAAACCCUGAUGCAGCGACGCCGCGUGAGUGAAGAAGUAUCUCGGUAUGUAAAGCUCUAUCAGCAGGAACGAGACAAGACGGUACCUGACUAAGAAGCCCCGGCUAACUACGUGCCAGCAGCCGCGGUAAUACGUAGGGGGCAAGCGUUAUCCGGAAUUACUGGGUGUAAAGGGAGCGUAGACGGUUAAGUAAGUCUGGAGUGUAAGGCCGGGGCCCAACCCCGGGACUGCUCUGGAAACUAUUGAACUUGAGUGCAGGAGAG
rnacentral:rRNA from 1 species